GUACCCGGAGGAAGAGAAAGAAAAUUCGAUUCCCUUAGUAGCGGCGAGCGAAACGGGAAGAGCCCAAACCAACAAGCUUGCUUGUUGGGGUUGUAGGACACUCUAUACGGAGUUACAAAGGACGACAUUAGACGAAUCAUCUGGAAAGAUGAAUCAAAGAAGGUAAUAAUCCUGUAGUCGAAAAUGUUGUCUCUCUUGAGUGGAUCCUGAGUACGACGGAGCACGUGAAAUUCCGUCGGAAUCUGGGAGGACCAUCUCC
rnacentral:rRNA from 1 species